UACGGGAGGCAGCAGUGGGGAAUAUUGCACAAUGGGCGCAAGCCUGAUGCAGCCAUGCCGCGUGUAUGAAAAAGGCCUUCGGGUUGUAAAGUACUUUCAGUCGUGAGGAAGGUGUUAAGGUUAAUAACCUUAGCAAUUGACGUUAGCGACAGAAGAAGCACCGGCUAACUCCGUGCCAGCAGCCGCGGUAAUACGGAGGGUGCGAGCGUUAAUCGGAAUUACUGGGCGUAAAGGGCACGCAGGCGGUUAAUUAAGUUUGGAUGUGAAAUCCCCCGGGCUUAACCUGGGAAUGGCAUUCAAGACUGGUUAGCUAGAGUCUUGUAGAGGGGGUAGAAUUCCAUGUGUAGCGGUGAAAUGCGUAGAGAUGUGGAGGAAUACCGGUGGCGGAAGGCGGGCCCCGUGGACAAAGACUGACGCUCAUGUGCGAAAGCGUGGGGAGCAAACAGGGAUUAGAUACC
rnacentral:rRNA from 1 species